GGCCCCAUCGUCUAGCCCGGCCCAGGACGUCUGGUUCUCAGCCAGAAAACAGGGGUUCAAAUCCCCUUGGGGCUG
rnacentral:tRNA from 1 species